AGAGUUUGAUCCUGGCUCAGGAUGAACGCUGGCUGUGUGCCUAAUACAUGCAUGUCGAGCGAAGUAGCAAUACUUAGCGGCGAAUGGGUGAGUAACACGUGCUCAACGUGCCCUCAAGAUUGGGAUAGCAACUGGAAACAGUUGAUAAUACCAAAUACUUAUAUUUUUCGCAUGAAGAAUAUAUAAAAGGAGCGUUUGCUCCGCUCGAGGAUCGGGGUGCGUAACAUUAGCUAGUUGGUGAGGUAACGGCCCACCAAGGCGAUGAUGUUUAGCGGGGUUGAGAGACUGAACCGCCACACUGGGACUGAGAUACGGCCCAGACUCCUACGGGAGGCAGCAGUAGGGAAUAUUCCACAAUGAACGAAAGUUUGAUGGAGCGACACAGCGUGCAGGAUGAAGGUCCUAUGGAUUGUAAACUGCUGUGGUAAGCGCAGAAAAAGUAGCUUAGGAAAUGAAGUUACAUUGACGGUACCUUAUUAGAAAGCAACGGCUAACUAUGUGCCAGCAGCCGCGGUAAUACAUAGGUUGCAAGCGUUAUCCGGAAUUAUUGGGCGUAAAGCAUCUGUAGGUUGUUUGUUAAGUCUGGCGUCAAAUUUUGGGGCUCAACCCCAAAUCGCGUUGGAUACUGGCAGACUAGAGUUAUGUAGAGGUUAGCAGAAUUCCUUGUGAAGCGGUGAAAUGCGUAGAUAUAAGGAAGAAUAUCAAUAUGGCGAAGGCAGCUAACUGGACAUACACUGACACUGAGAGAUGAAAGCGUGGGGAGCAAACAGGAUUAGAUACCCUGGUAGUCCACGCCCUAAACGAUGAUCAUUAGCUGAUGGAGAAUUCAUCGGCGCAGCUAACGCAUUAAAUGAUCCGCCUGAGUAGUACGUUCGCAAGAAUAAAACUUAAAGGAAUUGACGGGGAUCCGCACAAGCGGUGGAGCAUGUGG
rnacentral:rRNA from 1 species